rnacentral:rRNA from 1 species
UUGUGGGAAUAACGCUCCGAAAGGAGUGGUAAUACCGCAUGAGAUCAGCGACUGGGAUGUUGUUGAUGAAAGCUGGGGAUCGAAAGACCUAGCGCAAGGAGAGGGUCCUGCGUCUGAUUAGCUAGUUGGUGGGGUAAUGGCCUACCAAGGCGACGAUCAGUAGCCGGCUGAGAGGGUGAUCGGCACACUGGAACUGAGACACGGUCCAGACUCCUACGGGAGGCAGCAGUGGGGAAUUUUGCGCAAUGGACGAAAGUCUGACGCAGCAACGCCGCGUGGGUGAUGAAGGUCUUCGGAUCGUAAAACCCUGUCGUCAGGGACGAAGGUUGCAUGCUUAACAAGGUGUGUAGCUUGACGGUACCUGGAGAGGAAGCCCCGGGUAACUCUGUGCCACAGCCCGCUGGGUAAUNACACGAAGGGGGGGGCAAGGCNGUUCAAUUCGGGAAAUUAUUUUGGGGCGCGUUAACAGGGGGCGCCGUUAAGGGCGGGUCGAAUUCACAGGCUUGACAAUGUGUUAUCCCCCACGGGCGCUUUAAAACCCCUUCGGAAACAUGCGUCUUCAUUCACAGCAAGAUUGAAUCCGCCAACAAAGUGGCCUUG